ensembl:lncRNA
CAAGAGGACCCUUCUCUCUCCCACCGCAUGCAUAGUAUCCGGAGCAUAAACCAGGACCCUGCUGGACUUCAUGAUGACCCUGUCCAGCCUCUCAGUGAUGCUGCUGCAUUGUCAAAACAUCAAAGAAUAGGUACGUAUGCAUGUAUGUGAUGCUGGACUGCUGGUUAUAGUCUGUAGUGGAUUCCUAAUUCUCCUUCCUGAUGGUAGCAGACUAAACAAGCUGUGGCAAGGGUAGUGAGAUCUCCUGCAAUACAGAUCGCUUUGAACAUUGUCCUAUGUAUGCUGCUAUAGGUUUGAUAGACACCUUGAUACACAGAGCUUUGCUUAACCAUCCUUUUAGGUUACCACUCAAAUUGACCCGUUUGAAAACUUAAAACCUUUUGAAAAUCGUAUGUUUUUGGUAUAUAAACUUCUUUUGUUUGUUUAUUAAGGGCAAUGAAAUAAAACAGAUUUAUGUCACACAUGUGAAACCUUCCCCUACAUGUUUAUAUUACUGUACUGGAAAAUUUUUGCCUUUGUGCUAUUUCUUAUCCAACACAGUCGUCAUGUGCUGGUUAGGUGCAAUACUGAACUGAACAUUCUCGCACAAACAACUAAUCUCUUGCGCCCUGUCGUACAUCAAUUCUAAACAUCUGAUGUUCCAUUUGACUGACUAGUAAUUUAUGAUAUAUGUUUGUCUUUUACACCCGGACUCUGACUCCCCACCAGACCCAAGGCUGUUAAAGCGAAUGCAUCUUGUCUUGGAAGCUCGGUGUUCCUUCCUUUGGAUAACAAGACAUGAUGAUGCAGAAAUGACUCCAUUCCUGGACCGGGACGUUUCCAACCUGUUCUCCUCUUCCAACCCCCCACCUCUCCACUCACCACAACUGGCCAUGGCAGAUGAAUUCAACAGGAGUCUUGUUCUGAUUGCGGUCCCUUCCAUUAAACAGCUACAACUGCAGCUUUGUGCUCCUACUGUGAUCCUUCCUGUAGAUUUGCUUUUGAGAACAUUUGUCGUAAUUUUGUUAACCUAUUACUGUAAGGGACCAAAGAGUGUGUGGAUAAAUCAUUCAACUUUUGGUCAGACAUUAAGGUCAAUACUAAUGAGAGAGUUCAGUUCACUUUAAAGCUUUUCUUCUUGAUGGUUUGCACAUCUGUUCUAGUGCAGUGCAUUUAUUAUGUUAAAAGCUACAUGUCUGAAAAUUCAGGAGAGGUUGAUGGUUGCAAAAACACACAAUCUACUGCUCCGAAGCAAUCGCUUAUGUUUGUCAUUUUUUAUAUUAUCAAAGCAUACAGCUAAUUUAUGAUACUGUCAUUGUCACUUUAUUUGAGCGCUAUGACAUGCAUGUGAUACAUACUAAGAGAUUCAUAGUGAUACUUAUGAAAACGGUGAAGAAAAUUCAAGCCAUGGCUUCAGGUAGGUCCACUCAAGUCCCUGUGCCCUUUGCUGUCACCUGCUGCUGUCCAGAACGGUUGACAUCUGGCCCAGUUACCACGAGGGAACUUGCAGGUAACUUCACCGGGGCGAAAGUUAAAUAAGAAUAAGAAAACCUUUAAUAGUCCUGCAGUUGGGAAAUUACUUCUCACAACAGCAGUACAGAUAAGCGAGAGUACAGCUACAGACCAGUUUGUGUUGGCACAGUACAAAGCAGUACAGUUUGAGUGAGUAUGAGGUCAUUGCAGGGUUAUUGCACAGUAAUGGGUAUAAGAUUUGUACCGGUAACAAUAUACAUGAUCGUUCACAGAUUUACACACAAAUAUUGUGCAGAGCAGGUUACAUAAACCACUGAUACAGUACUGAUUGUACAGUCUGACAGACAGGUAGGAAGGAUCUACGAUAUCUCUCCUUCACACAGCGAGGGUGGAUCAGUCUGCUGCUGAAGCUGCUCUCCAGAGCAGUGACUUCCAGUGGGUCAGAGUCCUGGUCCAUGAUGGAUGUCAGUUUAGCCAGGACCCUUCUCUCACCCACCUCCUGCACCGUGUCCAAGUGCAGCCCAGGACAGAGCUGGACUUGAUCCUGUCCAGUCUCUUCCUGUCCCUCACUGUGAUGCUGCUGCUCCAGCAGACCACACCGUACAGGAUGGCCGAUGCAUUUUCAUUCUUUAUUGAACUAUGCACAUUUGGCUAAGGUGAAGACUUUAUAGGAACAUACAUUAAAUUAUUUAAGAGUUCUUCUUGCGCAAGCAAGUCCAAUAACUGAAUGCCCGAAUUAAAUCAGGCAAUCUCAUUCAUGUGUCUGCUGCUCAGAUUACACUGUGCAGGUAAAGACACAAAAUACUAACACCUCUUGGUGCACUUCCUCAGUAGAAAGCAAGCAGAAUUUGUUUUUCACACACUGUACAAAGCCCCGCUCAUUGAUGGUCACUCCCACACACAAUCCCCUAACUCCUCGCGUGUACCACACAAAACAGAAGAAUAGGAGUGACCCCUAAUGAUGAACAAUUUUUUGAUGAGGCUCUUCUUGUUGACAUUAGAGACUAAUCUUUGCGUUUACUUACAAAUUUUUAUAUUUUAAUGUUAUUUUUAAUCACGAAUGCUCUAAAAUAAAAAUAAAAAUUAUAAACUCA